UUAUCUCGGCAGUUGUGAAGGCGGUGAGGUUCGGUGUAAAAGCAGUUCGUGCUGUGGUUAGGGGAAUAAAAAGAAGAAGAGCCAGAGGCUGAAGCAGCUCCUGCAGAGAAACCCAUAGGAAUGCCCAGCAGCUCUCUUCCACCAUCGCAUCUCCUGGAUCUCCAGGAACACUCUGAUUAAUAAACAUUAUCACGCAA